rnacentral:rRNA from 1 species
GAUGAACGCUGGCGGCGUGCCUAAUACAUGCAAGUCGAGCGAACGGACGAGAAGCUUGCUUUUCAGUUGUUAGCGGCGGACGGGUGAGUAACACGUGGAUAACCUACCUAUAAGACUGGGAUAACUUCGGGAAACCGGAGCUAAUACCGGAUAAUAUUUGGAACCGCGUGGUUCAAGAGUGAAAGACGGGCUUGCUGUCACUUAUAGACGGAUCCGCGCUGCAUUAGCUAGUUGGUAAGGUAACGGCUUACCAAGGCAACGAUGGAUAGCCGACCUGAGCGGGGGUACGCCCCCACUGGAGCUGAGCCGCGGUCCUGGCACCUACGGGAGGCAGAGGUAGGGACUCUUCCGAGAUGGGCGAAAGCCUGACCGAGCAACGCCGCGCGAGUGAUGAGGGUCUGCGGAGCGUAAGACGCUGUUAUUAGUGAAGAACAUUUGUGUAAGUAACUGUGCACAUCUUGACGGUACCUAGUCAGAAAGCCACGGCUAACUACGUG